rnacentral:rRNA from 1 species
UACGAAGGGGGCUAGCGUUGCUCGGAAUUACUGGGCGUAAAGGGCGCGUAGGCGGCCUUCUAAGUCGCACGUGAAAUCCCCGGGCUCAACCCGGGAACUGCGUCCGAUACUGGAAGGCUUGAAUCCGGGAGAGGGAUGCGGAAUUCCAGGUGUAGCGGUGAAAUGCGUAGAUAUCUGGAGGAACACCGGUGGCGAAGGCGGCAUCCUGGACCGGCAUUGACGCUGAGGCGCGAAAGCCAGGGGAGCAAACGGG